AAAAGAUGGUUCUGCUAUCACUCUUGGAUGGACCUGCGGUGCAUUAGCUAGUUGGUAAGGUAACGGCUUACCAAGGCAAUGAUGCAUAGCCGAGUUGAGAGACUGAUCGGCCACAUUGGGACUGAGACACGGCCCAAACUCCUACGGGAGGCAGCAGUAGGGAAUCUUCCACAAUGGACGCAAGUCUGAUGGAGCAACGCCGCGUGAGUGAAGAAGGGUUUCGGCUCGUAAAGCUCUGUUGGUAGUGAAGAAAGAUAGAGGUAGUAACUGGCCUUUAUUUGACGGUAAUUACCUAGAAAGUCACGGCUAACUACGUGCCAGCAGCCGCGGUAAUACGUAGGUGGCAAGCGUUGUCCGGAUUUAUUGGGCGUAAAGCGAGUGCAGGCGGUUCAAUAAGUCUGAUGUGAAAGCCUUCGGCUCAACCGGAGAAUUGCAUCAGAAACUGUUGAACUUGAGUGCAGAAGAGGAGAGUGGAACUCCAUGUGUAGCAGUGGAAUGCGUAGAUAUAUGGAAGAACACCAGUGGCGAAGGCGGCUCUCUGGUCUGCAACUGACGCUGAGGCUCGAAAGCAUGGGUAGCGAACAGGAUUAGAUACCCUGGUAGUCCAUGCCGUAAACGAUGAGUGCUAAGUGUUGGGAGGUUUCCGCCUCUCA
rnacentral:rRNA from 1 species